AUGGAUGUGGCAUCGGAAUUCUGUCUCUCGGGCACUGUAAAUGUCCGCCACUCUGAUGUUCAAUUUCAAGUCACAUCGGUUCAUGGUCCUACCGCCUUUGACAGGAAGGAUGGUUUCUUCGCCGAGCUUGUGGCCCUCAAACCAAACACCGACGUCAAAUGGCUAGCUUUGAGAGAUUUUAAUCAAAUCUACCGCGCAUGAGACAAAAACAAGAGGAAUGUUAAUAGGAGCCGGAUUAACCGCUUUCAUGCUGCACUGUAGCCUUGUGAGCUGAAGGAAAUUCAUCUCCAAAAUCGCCGCUUCACCUGGAGUAAUGAGAGGACGAGCCCAACAUUGUGUAAACUUGACUCAUUCUUUUGCAACACUGAUUGGGACAUUCACUUUGACUCCCACAUCCUGCAUGCUCUAUCAAGCUCUUUAUCUGAUCACUGCCCAUUGCUACUUGCCGACGACAGUGGCCCUCGACGGCUUCGCAGCUUCAAGUUUGAGAACUUUUUGACAAAGAUGUCGGGCUUCAUGGAGGUGGUGCAGCAGGCUUGGCAGGAGCCGUCUACCCACAUUGAGUCGUGCCAAAUUUUAUUUCAUAAGCUCCGGACAACAAGUUUGCACCUUUCCAGAUGGAGCAAGGGGAUGUUCUCCAAUGCUGAAGUUCAACUAGACGCAGCCUUACUGAUCAUCCUUCAGUUUGACAUCGCCCAGGACUCGCGGCCACUUCCCCCCGACGAGCAUGCUUUGCGGGAUCGGCUUAAGAAGAGGGUCACGAGCCUUGCCGUCCUUGAGAGAGCUCGCAAGAAGCAAUGCGCCCGCAUAGCCAACAUCAAGGAGGGAGACGCCAACACUAACUUUUUCCACCUAUGGGUCAUUGGGAGACGUCACAAAAACCACAUCCACCGGCUGAAGCACAAUAGUGGUUGGGUAACCGAUCACUUGGAGAAAGAACAUAUUGUACACGAGAAUUUCUCCAAUAUCAUUGGCAGAGGCCAUGUGAGGACCAAAGAUUUUAACUGGGAGAACCUCAAUUUGGGGCACACAGGCCUGGAGGGCAUUGAUACCCCCUUCACAAAGGAGACUAAGGGUGCAUUAACCAAUUGCCAGGUGACAAGGCACCUGGGCCGGAUGGUUUCACGUGUGGUUUUUUUCAAGCGUUACUAG
rnacentral:rRNA from 1 species